rnacentral:misc_RNA from 1 species
GAUGAAGAACGUAGCGAAAUGCGAUAAGUAGUGUGAAUUGCAGAAUUCAGUGAAUCAUCGAAUCUUUGAACGCACAUUGCGCCCCGUGGUAUUCCAUGGGGCAUGCCUGUUCGAGCGUCAUUUGUACCUUCAAGCUCUGCUUGGUGUUGGGUGUUUGUCUCGCCUCUGCGUGUAGACUCGCCUUAAAACAAUUGGCAGCCGGCGUAUUGAUUUCGGAGCGCAGUACAUCUCGCGCUUUGCACUCAUAACGACGACGUCCAAAAGUACAUUUUUACACUCUUGACCUCGGAUCAGGUAGGGAUACCCGCUGAACUUAAGCAUAUCAAUAAGCGGAGGA